GUCCGCUUGGUCUAGUGGUAUGAUACCUCGUUCGGGUCGAGGUGGUCUGGGGUUCGAUUCCCCAAGCGGACC